ACACUGAUAUUUACAAUCAGAAAUACAUGAUUGGGACUUAUAUUAUUACAUUGAAUUCUGUGAAGUACAUGCCCAGACAAAUAAUCCCUUACAGAAGAGGGAUGUCCAUACUGCACUGAUAUUUACAAUCAGAAAUACAUGAUUGGGACUUAUAUUAUUACAUUGAAUUCUGUGAAGUACAUGCCCAGACAAAUAAUCCCUUACAGAAGAGGAAUGUCCAUACUCCACUCAUAUUGCACGAGAGGGAUGUCCAUACUCCACUGAUAUUUAUAAUCAGAAAUACAUGAUUGGGACUUAUAUUAUUACAUUGAAUUCUGUGAAAUACAUGCCCAGACAAAUAAUCCCUUACAGAAGAGGAAUGUCCAUACUCCACUCAUAUUGCACGAGGGAGAGGAAAUUUUUGAAAUAUUAAAUAAAUAAGCAUGUUAGCCCCCACAAAUACUUUUGUGGAGGCUUGAAC
rnacentral:lncRNA from 1 species